AGCGGCGCCUGGAACGGGAGAUCCGCUCCCGGACCCUCCACAUGCGCGGCGACGCUCCCGGUGACGGCUACCGGUUCGACCCCGGCGUACUGCUG
rnacentral:tRNA from 1 species